GAUGAACGCUGGUGGCGUGCCUAAUACAUGCAAGUCGAGCGAACGGACGAGAAGCUUGCUUUUCUGAUGUUAGCGGCGGACGGGUGAGUAACACGUGGAUAACCUACCUAUAAGACUGGGAUAACUUCGGGAAACCGGAGCUAAUACCGGAUAAUAUUUUGAACCGCAUGGUUCAAAAGUGAAAGACGGUCUUGCUGUCACUUAUAGAUGGAUCCGCGCUGCAUUAGCUAGUUGGUAAGGUAACGGCUUACCAAGGCAACGAUGCAUAGCCGACCUGAGAGGGUGAUCGGCCACACUGGAACUGAGACACGGUCCAGACUCCUACGGGAGGCAGCAGUAGGGAAUCUUCCGCAAUGGGCGAAAGCCUGACGGAGCAACGCCUCGUGAGUGAUGAAGGUCUUCGGAUCGUAAAACUCUGUUAUUAGGGAAGAACAUAUGUGUAAGUAACUGUGCACAUCUUGACGGUACCUAAUCAGAAAGCCACGGCUAACUACGUG
rnacentral:rRNA from 1 species